GAUGAACGCUGGCGGCGUGCCUAAUACAUGCAAGUCGAGCGAAUGGAUUAAGAGCUUGCUCUUAUGAAGUUAGCGGCGGACGGGUGAGUAACACGUGGGUAACCUGCCCAUAAGACUGGGAUAACUCCGGGAAACCGGGGCUAAUACCGGAUAACAUUUUGAACCGCAUGGUUCGAAAUUGAGAGGCGGCUUCGGCUGUCACCUAUGGAUGGACCCGCGUCGCAUUAGCUAGUUGGUGAGGUAACGGCUCACCAAGGCAACGAUGCGUAGCCGACCUGAGAGGGUGAUCGGCCACACUGGGACUGAGACACGGCCCAGACUCCUACGGGAGGCAGCAGUAGGGAAUCUUCCGCAAUGGACGAAAGUCUGACGGAGCAACGCCGCGUGAGUGAUGAAGGCUUUCGGGUCGUAAAACUCUGUUGUUAGGGAAGAACAAGUGCUAGUUGAAUAAGCUGGCACCUUGACGGUACCUAACCAGAAAGCCACGGCUAACUACGUGCCAGCAGCCGCGGUAA
rnacentral:rRNA from 1 species